GACGAACCGAGCGAACGUUGUUCGGAAUCACUGGGCUUAAAGGGCGCGUAGGCGGGCUGUCAAGUCUGGGGUGAAAUCCCGCGGCUCAACCGCGGAACUGCCUCGGAUACUGACGGCCUCGAGGGGGGUAGGGGCGAGCGGAACUGAUGGUGGAGCGGUGAAAUGCGUUGAUAUCAUCAGGAACUCCGGUGGCGAAGGCGGCUCGCUGGACCCCGUCUGACGCUGAGGCGCGAAAGCCAGGGGAGCAAACGGG
rnacentral:rRNA from 1 species